rnacentral:rRNA from 1 species
UCGAGCGGUAGAGAGAGCUUGCUUCUCUUGAGAGCGGCGGACGGGUGAGUAAUGCCUAGGAAUCUGCCUGGUAGUGGGGGAUAACGUUCGGAAACGGACGCUAAUACCGCAUACGUCCUACGGGAGAAAGCAGGGGACCUUCGGGCCUUGCGCUAUCAGAUGAGCCUAGGUCGGAUUAGCUAGUUGGUGGGGUAAUGGCUCACCAAGGCGACGAUCCGUAACUGGUCUGAGAGGAUGAUCAGUCACACUGGAACUGAGACACGGUCCAGACUCCUACGGGAGGCAGCAGUGGGGAAUAUUGGACAAUGGGCGAAAGCCUGAUCCAGCCAUGCCGCGUGUGUGAAGAAGGUCUUCGGAUUGUAAAGCACUUUAAGUUGGGAGGAAGGGCCGUUACCUAAUACGUGAUGGUUUUGACGUUACCGACAGAAUAAGCACCGGCUAACUCUGUGCCAGCAGCCGCGGUAAUACAGAGGGUGCAAGCGUUAAUCGGAAUUACUGGGCGUAAAGC